GACGGAGGAUGCAAGCGUUAUCCGGAAUUAUUGGGCGUAAAGCGUACGUAGGCUGUUUCAUAAGUCUGUUGUCAAAGCGCGAGGCUUAACCUUGUAAAAGCAAUGGAAACUGCGAGACUAGAGAGAGAUAGGGGCAGGAGGAAUUCCAGGUGUAGCGGUGAAAUGCGUAGAUAUCUGGAAGAACACCAGUGGCGAAAGCGGCCUGUUGGAACUCUACUGACGCUGAAGUGCGAAAGCGAGGGGAGCGAAUAGG
rnacentral:rRNA from 1 species